UACUAUUUUCUUAAAAAUAGUGGGAGGAUGAAAUCAAAGAGAAAUCUUCAAAGAACAACGAGUCACAAGAUCUGUAUAACCUAUUUAAGAUGAGCCAGUAUAUAUAGUAAAUCCUCCACCUCAUAGAUCUAGUAGGAUCUCCCAUCCUUUAGAAAGGUACUUGAUAUUCUUAUAAAGACUUUAGAAAAAAUAUUUCUCAAGGA
rnacentral:lncRNA from 1 species